CACUGCCCGUCACACUAUGGGAGUUGGCCAUGCCCGAAGUCGUUACCUUAACCGCAAGGAGGGGGAUGCCGAAGGCAGGGCUAGUGACUGGAGUGAAGUCGUAACAAGGUAGCCAUACUGGAAGGUGCGGUUG
rnacentral:ncRNA from 1 species